UUCGGCGUGACGAGCCAACGCUUUAACCACUAGGCUACCCCACCGCCCUGGGUUGCAUUGAUGAACAUAUCGUUGUAUACAGUUGACAAGGUGUAUAUAUCAUAGUAUAGUGUUGAAAGGUGUAUAUAUCAUAGUAUAGUGUUGAAAGGUGUACAUAUCAUUGUAUAGUGUUGGCAAUGUGUAUAUAUCAUAGUAUAGUAUUGGCAAGAUGUAUAUAUCAUUGUAUAGUAUUGUAAUGGUGUAUAUAGCUGUGUACUGCGUUGUUAGUGUAUGCAACAUCGUUUUGGGUUGUAUCGAUGAACAUAUCGUUGUAUAGUGUUGGCAAGGUGUAUAUUACAUAGUAUAGUGUUGAAAAGGUGUAUAUAUCAUUGUAUAGUGUUGGCAAGGUGUACAUAUCAUUGUAUAGUGUUGGCAAUGUGUAUAUAUCAUAGUAUAGUGUUGGCAGGGUGUAUAUAUCAUUGUAUAGUAUUGUAAAGGUGUAUAUAUCAUUGUAUAGUAUUGUAAAGGUGUAUAUAUCAUUGUAUAGUAUUGUAAAGGUGUAUAUAGCUGUGUACUGCGUUGGUAUUGUACACAGCAUUGUUUUGUGAAGUAUUGAUGAACAUAUCGUUGUAUAGUGUUGACAAUGUGUAUAUAUCAUAGCAUAGUGUUGGCAAGGUGUAUAUAUCAUAGUAUAGUGUUGAAAGGUGUAUAUAUCAUUGUAUAGUAUUGUAAAGGUGCAUAUAGCUGUGUACUGCGUUGUUAGUGUAUACAACAUUGUUUUGUGUUGUAUUGAUGAACAUAUCGUUGUAUAGAGUUGACAAGGUGUAUAUAUCAUAGUAUAGUGUUGAAAGGUGUAUAUAUCAUUGUAUAGUAUUGCAAACGUGUAUAUAGCUGUGUACUGCGUUGUUAGUGUAUACAACAUUGUUUUGUGUUGUAUUGAUGAACAUAUCGUUGUAUAGUGUUGACAAGGUGUAUAAAUCAUAGUAUAGUGUUGAAAGGUGUAUAUAUCAUUAUAUAGUAUUGUAAAGGUGCAUAUAGCUGUGUACUGCGUUGUUAGUGUAUACAACAUUGUUUUGUGUUGUAUUGAAGAACAUAUCGUUGUAUAGUGUU